GAUUAGUGGCGAACGGGUGAGUAACACGUGAGUAACCUGCCCUUAACUCUGGGAUAAGCCUGGGAAACUGGGUCUAAUACCGGAUAUGACUCCUCAUCGCAUGGUGGGGGGUGGAAAGCUUUUUGUGGUUUUGGAUGGACUCGCGGCCUAUCAGCUUGUUGGUGAGGUAAUGGCUCACCAAGGCGACGACGGGUAGCCGGCCUGAGAGGGUGACCGGCCACACUGGGACUGAGACACGGCCCAGACUCCUACGGGAGGCAGCAGUGGGGAAUAUUGCACAAUGGGCGCAAGCCUGAUGCAGCGACGCCGCGUGAGGGAUGACGGCCUUCGGGUUGUAAACCUCUUUCAGUAGGGAAGAAGCGAAAGUGACGGUACCUGCAGAAGAAGCGCCGGCUAACUACGUGCCAGCAGCCGCGGUAAUACGUAGGGCGCAAGCGUUAUCCGGAAUUAUUGGGCGUAAAGAGCUCGUAGGCGGUUUGUCGCGUCUGCCGUGAAAGUCCGGGGCUCAACUCCGGAUCUGCGGUGGGUACGGGCAGACUAGAGUGAUGUAGGGGAGACUGGAAUUCCUGGUGUAGCGGUGAAAUGCGCAGAUAUCAGGAGGAACACCGAUGGCGAAGGCAGGUCUCUGGGCAUUAACUGACGCUGCGCAGAUAUCAGGAGGAACACCGAUGGCGAAGGCAGGUCUCUGGGCAUUAACUGACGCUGAGGAGCGAAAGCAUGGGGAGCGAACAGGAUUAGAUACCCUGGUAGUCCAUGCCGUAAACGUUGGGCACUAGGUGUGGGGGACAUUCCACGUUUUCCGCGCCGUAGCUAACGCAUUAAGUGCCCCGCCUGGGGAGUACGGCCGCAAGGCUAAAACUCAAAGGAAUUGACGGGGGCCCGCACAAGCGGCGGAGCAUGCGGAUUAAUUCGAUGCAACGCGAAGAACCUUACCAAGGCUUGACAUGGACCGGACCGCCGCAGAAAUGUGGUUUCCCCUUUGGGGCCGGUUCACAGGUGGUGCAUGGUUGUCGUCAGCUCGUGUCGUGAGAUGUUGGGUUAAGUCCCGCAACGAGCGCAACCCUCGUUCUAUGUUGCCAGCGCGUGAUGGCGGGGACUCAUAGGAGACUGCCGGGGUCAACUCGGAGGAAGGUGGGGACGACGUCAAAUCAUCAUGCCCCUUAUGUCUUGGGCUUCACGCAUGCUACAAUGGCCGGUACAAAGGGUUGCGAUACUGUGAGGUGGAGCUAAUCCCAAAAAGCCGGUCUCAGUUCGGAUUGGGGUCUGCAACUCGACCCCAUGAAGUCGGAGUCGCUAGUAAUCGCAGAUCAGCAACGCUGCGGUGAAUACGUUCCCGGGCCUUGUACACACCGCCCGUCAAGUCACGAAAGUUGGUAACACCCGA
rnacentral:rRNA from 1 species